AUGCUAUUUGGGGGAUUUGUUCUUCUACUAGGGGGUCUAGGAGUAGUAUUACUUACCAACCCCAUUUAUUCUGCCUUUUCGUUGGGAUUAGUUCUUGUUUGUCUAUCCUUAUUCUAUUUUUUAUUAAAUUCCUACUUUGUAGCUGUCACACAACUUCUUAUUUAUGUGGGAGCCAUAAAUGUCUUGAUCAUAUUCGUUGUAUUAUUCGUAAAUGGCUCAGAAUGGUCUAAAGAUAAGAAUUAUUGGACUAUUGGAGAUGGGUUCACUUCACUCAUUUGUAUAACUAUUGUUUUUUCACUAAUGACAACUAUCCCAAAUACGUCGUGGUAUGGAAUUGUUUAG
rnacentral:rRNA from 1 species